GUAGAACUGGACAUGCAGAGAUCCAAGCAUGGGAGAGGUUAGAGGUAUUCUGAGGACAAUGGAAAUAAUUGCAAGUUCUGAUAAGUAUUUUGGACUUCCUCCAACAGAUAAAAUAGGGAACAGUGGAGAAGAUGGGAACCCCUUUCUGGACUCUGAGCAAGGGUGGUGCCCCUGUCAGGGGUGGAUGAGCAGCAGGGGGUCUGCUGCUGGGAAGUGAACAGCAGGGACGGAUGAGUCUCUAAACAGAAGAAAUCUGAUUUUCCUGCAACAUCCCUGCGAAAUCAAAGCAUGUAAGAAUCAUUAAGACAGGAAAAUCCUGCUUCUGUCUUCAUCAGUCCAUUUCGGAAAAAUGACUUAAAUCUUGGCAACUAUAGAUAACUUUGUAUAUCCUAUGUGGAUUGCUUUAGAGCUCAAGCAUACAGAAGGCAGCAUUUAAUUUUCAAGUUCUGAAGGAUCUGAAGAUGGCCCAGUCCUGUACCACCCCCUGCUUUUUUUUCAUCAUUUAUGUAUUUUGAAACAUAUGUCAGUGUCUCUGUGUGUUUUCCAUGCAGUGCUCUGAAGAUGAGUUUCAACAUUGUUUCAUUCUCUGCGGAUUGUAAACUCCUGGAAGUCAGGGAUUGUAUUUUAUGUUGGAUGAAUGCCAGGAUUUUUCUUUAUUCCUGCAGAUCCUAGAUCAAUGCCUUUGACAGAGUGGAAACUGAAUACAAGUUACUGUACUUAGACUGAAUUUAAAAAUAAGGAUCAUUAUACGACUAUAUCAACUGUCUUUUGUUCUGGAGAAAUAAUGCAUGGUUUAUAGUGAGGCUGAGACUGAGUUGCAAUAGUCAGGCUAAUCUUGACUGAUUUCUGGGUAGGCCCGUCCAUCCCACAAACAUGAGUACAGAAACCAGGUGUCCUGGCCCAUCAGACAACGCAAAAUCUGAAGCCAGGCCGCUUGUUUCUUGGCAGAGGGUUGUGGCCCAAGUGGCGGGUAAUGGAUUCAGGCCCUCAGACCAACCAGGAGGUGUGUCCUGGCCCAGGUCCUGUUCAGGCGCAUAGUAUUCAGAGAGUUCAUUAAACGUCACCUCUCGACCACCACUCAGGAGGGCGUAGGCUUCACUGUGUGGCUGAAAGGCAAUGGUUGUGCCAACAUUGCCUUAGGUCUCCUAGAGUGACUCAUAGAAUUUCUGUAACACUCUCCAAAAUGUGUGUCUGGGAUCUGAAGGAGGAAGAAACACUUUGUACUUGAAGAUGCAAGAGAGAGUGUAGGUAUUGAUAAGUCAAUCUAAUGACAAAAUGUUAAAUGGGCAGCAUGAGCUACGGUUUUGUGGGAGUUUAAAAUCAGAUAUGUAUUGACUCAAGUGUUUUGGGUUAAACUCACUAAAGCAAUGAUUUGUACCUUACAAAAUGAAGCCUUUUAGUGGGGUGAUCUGGCCAUUCAAUGAAGAGGUGACGUCAUGGACCAGAAAAGUCCCUGGGGCCAGAGUUUGGACAUAUCAUUCACAAGUUCUACUUUCAUCUCCGGAAAACCCUGAAGCCAUUAUUUUCCUUCCCUCAACCCUUUCUUCCUAUGAUGGCUCCUUCAUUGUGACACAUGCAAAAUUCUGAAUUCCAUCCAUAGAUGAGAAAUAAAAAUUUUCACCUUAUUUCUGUAGUAUAGGGGAAAAAAAAGAUUUUUUUUCCUCUAUAUUCUUAGGUUUAUACCUGGGGCCUGUAUAUUAAACUGACAAAAG